GGCCACUGGGGUGACAUCGCCAAGUGGUUCCUAUGGUAUAAUAAUUUUGGGGCAUAAGUCCAACUGCCUAACUUCCCUUCUUCCUGCCUGUUUUCCUGAAGUUGCGUCUGCAGGCUUCCUCUUAAUUCUAUGGAUCAUGCAAUAGUCUUUCAAGAAAUUAUCUUCUGCUUAGCUAGUCACUUCCUGUUGCUAGAACCAUGAAGAGGCCUGGUGAAAGAUGUUCAGUAUACUACCUGCAUCAGCUGCUACUGCUAUGUGACAAGCAAAUUUUCCAGAAACACUGACAUGGAAACAGGAUCUUUCUUCUCCUACUGUUUGUUCCUCGACUACAGUUAUAAUCCUCUAUUUGUGACAUCAUAAUUAGUUGCCACUGGAGAAGACGAUCGUGUCACAAAAGGAUUAGGACCUAAGUCUUGGAGUCCAGCCACUAUGCUGUGGGGAAGCAAAGAAAGCUGUGGAGAGGCCACGUGGGGAGGAAUGCCAUCCUUAGCAUGGGCUGAGCUCCCAGGCAGCACCCAUCUCCAGACAUGCGAGUGAACAGGACUUCCGGCAAUUCCAGCCCCAGCCACUGAGUCACUUCCAGUUUCUCAGUGUUUCCAGGGGAGGCCUCAGACACUAUGGAGCAAAGAAAAUCUGACCCAGCUGUGCCCUGUCCAAAUUCCUGACCCAUAGAGAAUACAAGAGAGAAUAAAAC
rnacentral:lncRNA from 10 species